rnacentral:rRNA from 1 species
UACAGAGGUGGCAAACGUUGUCCGGAUUUAUUGGGUGUAAAGGGCAUGUAGGUGGUUCUAUAAGUCAAAGGUGAAAUCCCCCGGCUUACCCGGGGACCUGCAUCCCAAACUGCGCGACUUGAGUAUGGGAGAGGAUGAGGGAAUUCCUGGUGUAGCGGUGAAAUGCGUAGAUAUCAGGAGGAACACCAGUGGCGAAGGCGAGUCUCUGGACGACACCUGACACUGAGGCACGAAAGCUAGGGGAGCAAACAGG